UACGGAGGGGGCUAGCGUUGUUCGGAAUUACUGGGCGUAAAGCGCACGUAGGCGGCCGUUUAAGUUAGAGGUGAAAGCCCGGGGCUCAACCCCGGAAUUGCCUUUGAUACUGGAUGGCUUGAAUCCGGGAGAGGUGAGUGGAAUUCCGAGUGUAGAGGUGAAAUUCGUAGAUAUUCGGAAGAACACCAGUGGCGAAGGCGGCUCACUGGACCGGCAUUGACGCUGAGGUGCGAAAGCGUGGGGAG
rnacentral:rRNA from 1 species